CGUAACAAGGUCUCCGUUGGUGAACCAGCGGAGGGAUCAUUACUGAGUUUACGCUCUACAACCCUUUGUGAACAUACCUAUAACUGUUGCUUCGGCGGGUAGGGUCUCCGUGACCCUCCCGGCCUCCCGCCCCCGGGCGGGUCGGCGCCCGCCGGAGGAUAACCAAACUCUGAUUUAACGACGUUUCUUCUGAGUGGUACAAGCAAAUAAUCAAAACUUUUAACAACGGAUCUCUUGGUUCUGGCAUCGAUGAAGAACGCAGCGAAAUGCGAUAAGUAAUGUGAAUUGCAGAAUUCAGUGAAUCAUCGAAUCUUUGAACGCACAUUGCGCCCGCCAGCAUUCUGGCGGGCAUGCCUGUUCGAGCGUCAUUUCAACCCUCAAGCUCUGCUUGGUGUUGGGGCCCUACAGCUGAUGUAGGCCCUCAAAGGUAGUGGCGGACCCUCCCGGAGCCUCCUUUGCGUAGUAACUUUACGUCUCGCACUGGGAUCCGGAGGGACUCUUGCCGUAAAACCCCCAAUUUUCCAAAGGUUGACCUCGGAUCAGGUAGGAAUACCCGCUGAACUUAAGCAUAUCAAU
rnacentral:rRNA from 1 species